AACGCACAUUGCACCCUUUGGUUUCUAUCAAAGGGUAUGUCUGUUUGAGAAUCGUAUUACCAUCUCAAGCCUAACACGCUUGUAACUGAGGCCUUAACUAGGCAGGCGAGCAACAACUUGCUGGCUGGCUUCUUGUUGGCCUUUAAAUUGAGGGAUUGACGCCAAGCUGGCCUAUGUAUCAGCCGGUCUUAGGGCUCUGUGUGGUAAGGUGUGUUGGUCAAUCAAUCUAAUUGAAUUGACAUGACAACGCCAAUAGCACUUUGCUCGUUCGUUUAUCACAAUUAGACGAGGGAUCGGUCUGAGGGACUACUUGUGCUUGUCAGCCAAAACCCAAGCAUACACAUUCAUCUGUGCAUGCUUACUCAACGCAACGAUCCCGUUGCAUUGGUUACUUGAUCUCAAAUCAGACAAGACUACCCGCUGAACUUAA
rnacentral:misc_RNA from 1 species